rnacentral:rRNA from 1 species
ACAGCAGCAGCCACGGUAAUACGGAGGGUGCAAGCGUUAAUCGGAAUUACUGGGCGUAAAGCGCACGCAGGCGGUCUGACAAGUCAGAUGUGAAAUCCCCGGGCUUAACCUGGGAACUGCAUUUGAAACUGUCAGGCUGGAGUCUUGUAGAGGGGGGUGGAAUUCCAGGUGUAGCGGUGAAAUGCGUAGAGAUCUGGAGGAAUACCGGUGGCGAAGGCGGCCCCCUGGACAAAGACUGACGCUCAGGUGCGAAAGCGUGGGGAGCAAACAGGAUUAGAUACCCCUGUAGUCCCUGUCUCUUAUAA